AGGCGAGGGAGGUGCCCGAGACGUCCAUGGCGGAGAGGCCUGCAGGGUUUCUGUCGCCAGUCAGCCCUCUGAUGGAGAGAGUGGUGGAUCACGAGUGCUGAAGGCUGGACGCCGCCGACUAGUUUGAGGAUCCCUAAGGGGAUUUCUAAAGCUCCCAGCCUUCCAAAAGAUGGAGCUGCAGCUAUGUCAAUGCAUCAGGGGAACACCAUGCAAGCAGAUUUCUACACAAACUCCGAUGGGGUGUUAGCUUCAGAACUAGCUGGAAUCAAUUCACCUUGAUCAGUAUACUCGACGUAGGUACCGAUGUACUGAUGUUGUUGUUCUACAAAACGGAAGGCACUGUCACAAUCUCAUUCUAUGUGUUGUAGGCAGGAAGUUUGGUGGUCGUGGUUGCCCGUUUAUUCCCUGUUUUUUUUGGAAGUUGCCAUCUGUGUUUGUGCAUGGGAAUCACAUCUGAAGACACUGUGUUUACGGUUUCUCUUUUCCAGCUUUUGUAUCAAACUUGUAGUAUUCUGGGUUUGUUCAAUGCAAUGAACACAAUGGACUAAAUUUGAA